rnacentral:rRNA from 1 species
UGGGGAAUAUUGCACAAUGGGCGCAAGCCUGAUGCAGCCAUGCCGCGUGUAUGAAGAAGGCCUUCGGGUUGUAAAGUACUUUCAGUCGGGAGGAAGGUGGUAAGGUUAAUAACCUUAUCAAUUGACGUUACCGACAGAAGAAGCACCGGCUAACUCCGUGCCAGCAGCCGCGGUAAUACGGAGGGUGCAAGCGUUAAUCGGAAUUACUGGGCGUAAAGCGCACGCAGGCGGUCUGUCAAGUCGGAUGUGAAAUCCCCGGGCUCAACCUGGGAACUGCAUUCGAAACUGGCAGGCUAGAGUCUUGUAGAGGGGGGUAGAAUUCCAGGUGUAGCGGUGAAAUGCGUGGAGAUCUGGAGGAAUACCGGUGGCGAAGGCGGCCCCCUGGACAAAGACUGACGCUCAGGUGCGAAAGCGUGGGGAGCAAACAGG